rnacentral:sRNA from 1 species
UCCGCCAUCUGGAAGGACCUUACGGACAAAGGAUUUGAAUCUGGCCAUGCCUACGGGAAGGCAUUGCGAACAGUCAAGUCCUGCGUGGGACUCACGUGGUGCCGUUAUGGGGUGCAAGAUUCCGU